UAUUUAGAGCUGAAAGUGUUACUAACAGCGCUCUAAUAUAUUGUAAAACUUAUUAAGGCACCACAGUUUCGUACAACACAUGGCGACUCGUCGCGGGGCUUUCUUCUAGUGUGUAUCCGUUAUUGCAGCGAGUUUUGUAGAGGGACCCGUCUAACAUUACCAUGAAAUAGUUGGUAUUCUUGGUCAGAUUUAUCUGUGGAAAGUGUUACACGUAAUGACCAGCACGUUUGAGCGGUUUUUGCGGCUGUACUGGCGGUAUCUUGGAUUCAUCAGCGCUGGUCGAACUACACCGAUUUCCUCAGCAAUAAUUCUUCCAUAAGGAGAUCUGUUUACCUUUCUAUGGUUGUUUCUGAAACCCAAGACUUCAUGUAGGUGGCGUACAGGAACAUGUGCAAACACAUUCUACAUCCCAAGAUAUGUUGCUGGAAGCGUUCAAUAAAUGCUGUUAAGUUUCACCAUCAUACUACUUUUGCUGUGCACUGUUCACUGGACCAGCAGGUCCUGUGAUUGAUAAAGUAGGAACCACGUGACAUGCAAUAGCAGCCAGCUAACAUCUGUGCGAGAUCUGGCCAGUCUGAAUUGUACUCGGUACAAACAUUCGUUGAGGGAUUUCCAGUUGGAAACAAGAUUCUAACUGGAAAUUAUUCCACGGGGGUGGGGGGGAACGGGGCAAGUGGGACCACUUCAAGUGGUUUCACUCGCUGGAAAUUUUUGCCUCGGAAAGCAAUCAUAUCGAGUAAAAGUCUUAUUUUGUAGCAUAUGGUGCAAUUGCGUGGGUCCAUGCACCUAAAAAUAAAUGCCAUUUGAUAUAUAAAUGUUAUCUGUGGAACUGCUGUGGACAACCUAUGGAUGUUCACUUUUGUGAAAAUGGACGUCCUCUAAAUAUUGUACUAAUAUUGCCAAUAUCAUAUCAAUAUUGUGUGUGGAACUGCUGUGGACAUUCUAUGGAUGUCCACUCUGUUCAAAAUGGACAUCCUCUGAAUAUUUUAUAAAUAUUAAAUUAACUUUUGUGGACAUCCUCUGAAGAUUAAAUAUCUCAUGGUUGAUAUUUAUGGAAUGUCCACUGGAUGUGAGAUGGUUG